AGACCUCUGUUGCUGUGCGGCGCCAGUCGGACACUAAGGUGUGCUUGACUGAUACAUGCUGAUCGCUCCUUCUUCUGGUGGCCUGUGUAAAUUGCCUGAUCCUCCUCCCAGCCAGAGGCACUACACAGAGCUUGUGGAAAGGCCAGUUCGUGGUGUUGGUGGACUUUCCGGGUGGUGGUGCUCUUUUGAUUUGCUGCACAAUUUUCUUUAGUUUUGCUGUUUUGUUUGCUGUGUUUCUUUUAUUUAGGUCACUACCCUGAACUGCACUGCUACCCUUGACUUGAGCCGUCACUGUUAUUUAUUUAAUGUGAGUGGUUUUAACUUGGUGUAUUUUAUUGAU